rnacentral:tRNA from 2 species
AAUCUUUUGAAAAACGGAUUAAUCGGACGAGAAUAAAGAUAGAGUCCCGU